AAGAGACAGUUGGUCACUCUGUUUUCUGCACCCAAUUAUUGUGGAGAGUUUGACAAUGCAGGUGCCAUGAUGAGUGUGGACGAAACACUAAUGUGUUCUUUUCAGAUUUUAAAGCCGGCAGAAAAAAAGAAGCCGAAUGCCACGAGACCUGUAACACCUCCAAGGGGUAUGAUCACAAAGCAAGCAAAGAAAUAGAUGUCAAUUUUGACACUGCCUAGUUGGGACUUGUAACAUAUAGUAUAUAACCUUCAUUUUUAAGACUGUAAUGUGUACUGGUCAGCUUGCUCAGAUAGAUCUGUGUUUGUGGGGGCCCUUCCUUCUAUUUUUGAUUUAGCAAAUUCCAUUUGCUGGUUAUAACAGCAAAUGAAAGACUCCACUCUAAAAAAAAGUGUUUUGUUUUUUAAUUCCCUUUUCCUUUUGCAAACAAUUUUAAUGAUGGUGUUAAAGCUAUACACCCCAGGACAGUUUAUCCUGUCAAAGGGGUAAGUGUACAAUUGAUCAUUUUUUAAUUCAGUAAAAACCCAUAAUAAUGUAAAUGCUUGUUUUCUUUAGGCUAUAAUGAGAGCCCUAGGGUGCUCUGAAUCUGUACAUGUUCUUGUCAUAAAAUACAUACUGUUGAUACAAACCACUGUGAACAUUUUUUAUUUUAAAAUUUUGUUUCAAAGGGAUUGCUUUUUCUUUUCAUUGUCUUGUCAUGUACAAACUAGUUUUUAUAGCUAUCGACAUUAGGAAUAACUUUCAACCUUGCCAGCAUCACUGGUAUGAUGUAUAUUUAAUUAAAGCACACUUCCCCUACCAUAUACUUAAAAUGACAAUUAAAGCCAUUCUUUUAAAUGUUUGUGACUCUUUCCUAAAGCCAAAGUUUCUGUUGAAAUAUGUAUUGACACACCCCUAAGUACAAGGUGGCAUGGUUGUAUACAUAUGCUGCCUUCUUGGGGAUUCAAAAACUGGUUUUUGAUUUUGAAUAGUAGUUAGUAAUAUAGUGCUGUUUAAGCUAUUAAUGAUUAAAGUUAAUAACAUUUUGUACAAUUUCCAUAUAGUCUAUUCAUUAAGUAAUCUUUUUACAGUUACAUCAGGCCUGAACUCGUCCAUUCAGAAAGCUUCAAAUUAUAGAAACAAUACUGUUCUAUACGAGUGACCGAUUAUGCUUUCUUUGGCUACAUUCUUUAUUCAGCGGUGAAGUUGAGGCUUCUAAGUCAAAACAAAGAAACUAACUUACUAUCCACCAAUUUAUACAGAAUUCACAGUAUCUAUGACUUUUUUAAACUAAGAUCUGUUAAAAAGAAAUCUGUUUCAACAGAUGACCGUGUACAAUACCAUGUGGUGAAAAUGCAUUCAGACUUAUUAAAUGAUGAACUUGUUAAAUCCUCUCAGUGUCUAUUUAUCAGCACAAUACACACAGGAAAACUGUUGAUGGCAUAUUGAAUAGAUUUUAAUGAAUAAAUUGCUCUGGAAACC